UACGAAGGGGGCUAGCGUUGCUCGGAAUCACUGGGCGUAAAGCGCACGUAGGCGGAUUUCUAAGUCAGGGGUGAAAUCCCGGGGCUCAACUCCGGAACUGCCUCUGAUACUGGAGAUCUCGAGUCCGGGAGAGGUGAGUGGAACUGCGAGUGUAGAGGUGAAAUUCGUAGAUAUUCGCAAGAACACCAGUGGCGAAGGCGGCUCACUGGCCCGGUACUGACGCUGAGGUGCGAAAGCGUGGGGAGCAAACAGG
rnacentral:rRNA from 1 species